rnacentral:rRNA from 1 species
CCAUGUGUAGCGGUGAAAUGCGUAGAUAUGUGGAAGAACACCAGUGGCGAAAGCGGCUUGCUAGAUCGUAACUGACGUUGAGGCUCGAAAGUAUGGGUAGCAAACGGGAUUAGAUACCCCGGUAGUCCAUACCGUAAACGAUGGGUGCUAGUUGUUAAGAGGUUUCCGCCUCCUAGUGACGUAGCAAACGCAUUAAGCACCCCGCCUGAGGAGUACGGCCGCAAGGCUAAAACUUAAAGGAAUUGACGGGGACCCGCACAAGCGGUGGAGCAUGUGGUUUAAUUCGAAGAUACGCGAAAAACCUUACCAGGUCUUGACAUACCAAUGAUCGCUUUUGUAAUGAAAGCUUUUCUUCGGAACAUUGGAUACAGGUGGUGCAUGGUCGUCGUCAGCUCGUGUCGUGAGAUGUUGGGUUAAGUCCCGCAACGAGCGCAACCCUUGUUAUUAGUUGCCAGCAUUUAGUUGGGCACUCUAAUGAGACUGCCGGUGAUAAACCGGAGGAAGGUGGGGACGACGUCAGAUCAUCAUGCCCCUUAUGACCUGGGCAACACACGUGCUACAAUGGGAAGUACAACGAGUCGCAAACCGGCGACGGUAAGCUAAUCUCUUAAAACUUCUCUCAGUUCGGACUGGAGUCUGCAACUCGACUCCACGAAGGCGGAAUCGCUAGUAAUCGCGAAUCAGCAUGUCGCGGUGAAUACGUUCCCGGGUCUUGUACACACCGCCCGUCAAAUCAUGGGAGUCGGAAGUACCCAAAGUCGCUUGGCUAACUUUUAGAGGCCGGUGCCUAAGGUAAAAUCGAUGACUGGGAUUAAGUCGUAACAAGGU